rnacentral:lncRNA from 1 species
UAUUAAGGUUGUAGGAGUCUGUUUAGAGUAUUCUUCUGUAGAAUAGAGCAGUAUCUCCUUUUGCCUUUGACAACAGAGCUAUAAGAUGGUUCUUAGUGACAGAAAAAGUAUAUAAACUACAAGAGAUUACCCUUUCCUGGUCUGGAAAUUUUGUUAGAGAUUGCCGAGAAAACAAGAAGGAUUUCUUCUCUCCAAGUCCGGAGGGUGUGAGAUGAGUCAGAGAGUACCCAUAGGUUUGGGAGUGGAGAGAUGCGAGGACACAUUUUGUUGAAUCGAAUGGACCCAGUUGGACAGCAUCAACUCCAUGCACCCUACGCUUGAGUACAGAGCCCGCAAGCAAACAUUCUGAUUCCAAGUGUCUAUGGAACUUGGAGAGGAAAGAGACUGUAUUUCCUUGUUCACUGGAAUUAAUGUAUCAGUAGUGAUAAUGGCCUGAGGUAUGAUACUCUUGGUGAGUAUCUUU